CACGUAGGGUGCGAGCGUUGUCCGGAAUUAUUGGGCGUAAAGAGCUCGUAGGCGGUGUGUCGCGUCGGCCGUGAAAACCUGCAGCUUAACUGUGGGCGUGCGGUCGAUACGGGCAUCACUGGAGUUCGGCAGGGGAGACUGGAAUUCCUGGUGUAGCGGUGAAAUGCGCAGAUAUCAGGAGGAACACCGGUGGCGAAGGCGGGUCUCUGGACCACAACUGACGCUGAGGCGCGAAAGCUAGGGGAGCAAACAGG
rnacentral:rRNA from 1 species